rnacentral:rRNA from 1 species
UAGGGAAUCUUCCGCAAUGGACGCAAGUCUGACGGAGCAACGCCGCGUGAGUGAAGAAGGAUUUCGGUUCGUAAAACUCUGUUGUUAGAGAAGAACAGCGCAUAGAGUAACUGUUAUGCGUGUGACGGUAUCUAACCAGAAAGCCACGGCUAACUACGUGCCAGCAGCCGCGGUAAUACGUAGGUGGCAAGCGUUAUCCGGAAUUAUUGGGCGUAAAGCGCGCGUAGGCGGUUUUUUAAGUCUGAUGUGAAAGCCCACGGCUCAACCGUGGAGGGUCAUUGGAAACUGGUUGACUUGAGUGCAGAAGAGGAGAGUGGAAUUCCAUGUGUAACGGUGAAAUGCGUAGAUAUAUGGAGGAACACCAGUGGCGAAGGCGACUCUCUGGUCUGUAACUGACGCUGAGGCUCGAAAGCGUGGGUAGCAAACAGG